AGAGGGUGCAAACGUUGUUCGGAAUUACUGGGCGUAAAGCGCGUGUAGGCGGCUAUGCAAGUCGGGCGUGAAAUCCCACGGCUCAACCGUGGAAGUGCACUCGAAACUGCGUAGCUAGAGUCCCGGAGAGGAAGGUGGAAUACUUGGUGUAGAGGUGAAAUUCGUAGAUAUCAAGUGGAACACCGGUGGCGAAGGCGGCCUUCUGGACGGUGACUGACGCUGAGACGCGAAAGCGUGGGGAGCAAACAGGAUUAGAUACCCUGGUAGUCCACGCCGUAAACGAUGAGUGCUAGGUGUCACGGGCUUUGACCCUCGUGGUGCCGAAGCUAACGCGUUAAGCACUCCGCCUGGGGAGUACGGCCGCAAGGCUAAA
rnacentral:rRNA from 1 species